GACGAACGCUGGCGGCGUGCUUAACACAUGCAAGUCGAACGGAAAGGCCCUGCUUUUGUUGGGUGCUCGAGUGGCGAACGGGUGAGUAACACGUGAGUAACCUGCCCUUGACUUUGUGAUAACUUCAGGAAACUGGGGCUAAUACCGGAUAGGAGCUCCUGCUGCAUGGUGGGGGUUGGAAAGUUUCGGCGGUUGGGGAUGGACUCGCGGCUUAUCAGCUUGUUGGUGGGGUAGUGGCUUACCAAGGCUUUGACGGGUAGCCGGCCUGAGAGGGUGACCGGCCACAUUGGGACUGAGAUACGGCCCAGACUCCUACGGGAGGCAGCAGUGGGGAAUAUUGCACAAUGGGCGGAAGCCUGAUGCAGCAACGCCGCGUGCGGGAUGACGGCCUUCGGGUUGUAAACCGCUUUCGCCUGUGACGAAGCGUGAGUGACGGUAAUGGGUAAAGAAGCACCGGCUAACUACGUG
rnacentral:rRNA from 1 species